rnacentral:rRNA from 1 species
GACGGAGGAUGCAAGCGUUAUCCGGAAUGAUUGGGCGUAAAGCGUCCGCAGGUGGCAAUGUAAGUCUGCUGUUAAAGAGUCUAGCUCAACUAGAUAAAAGCAGUGGAAACUACAUAGCUAGAGUACGUUCGGGGCAGAGGGAAUUCCUGGUGUAGCGGUGAAAUGCGUAGAGAUCAGGAAGAACACCAGUGGCGAAGGCGCUCUGCUAGGCCGUAACUGACGCUGAGGAGCGAAAGCGUGGGGAGCGAACAGG